rnacentral:rRNA from 1 species
AAUGAACGCUGGCGGCAGGCCUAACACAUGCAAGUCGAACGAGUGGCGGACGGGUGAGUAAUGCUUGGGAAUCUGGCUUAUGGAGGGGUAUAACGACGGGAAACUGUAGCUAAUACUGCGUACCACGCGAUCGGCUCUCGGGGGAGUAGGUAGUUGGUGAGGUAACGGCUCACCAAGACGACGAUGUCUAGCUGGUCUGAGAGGAUGACCAGCCACACUGGGACUGAGACACGGCCCAGACUCCUACGGGAGGCAGCAGUGGGGAAUAUUGCGCAAUGGGCGCAAGCUGACGCAGCCACGCCGCGUGAGUGAAGAAGGUUUUCGGGUUGUAAAGUUCUUUCGUUAGAGAGGCGUUAUCUACAGAAAAAGCACCGGCUAACUCCGUGCCAGCAGCCGCGGUAAUAC